UGGAAACAGAGCCAGAUUCCAAGUCUACAUCUGAACUUCUUCAGUCUUAGGAAACGUGACUGAAAACAGAAAUUCAGAGAGACAUGUGAUAUUCAAUAAUAUAAAACAUUUUUGAGAAGAAGAAAAGGAACACCCUAAUGAAAAUACUUGUUGGAUUUGGUUUUACUCCAAUGUCAUCCAAGUAUCAUUCCUUUGGCAAGACUCCAGUCUCCAUGACCUUCCCUGAGUUCCAAAGGGCAGAUUAUUGAACUGUUGCUAGUCAAGGGAGGAGCAGCCAAGAAACCACCUGAGGCAAGAUUAAAAGGACCAGGGAAGCUCAUUAAGAUUAAGAGACCACCUGAGACCCUACACACACUCUAAUCUUGUCAGCAACCUCACCCUUGAAGUAUUGUUAAAAACUCAUCAAAUCCUCCCGGGUUGGGACACAUAGUUUUUCGAAGCAGGAGCCUGCUGUGUCGCCCUCUGCCUGGCAAAAUAAUAAAGCUAUC